rnacentral:rRNA from 1 species
GAUGAACGCUGGCGGCGUGCUUAACACAUGCAAGUCGAACGAGAAAGCACCUUCGGGUGUGAGUAGAGUGGCGAACGGGUGAGUAACACGUGAGCAACCUACCCUUCACAUCGGGAUAACACAGAGAAAUCUGUGCUAAUACCGGAUAUUCCAUGGACACCAAAUGGUGACCUUGGGAAAGCUUUCGCGGUGAAGGAUGGGCUCGCGGUCCAUUAGGUAGUUGGUGGGGUAAUGGCCCACCAAGCCUUCGAUGGAUAGCCGGGUUGAGAGACCGACCGGCCACAUUGGGACUGAGAUACGGCCCAGACUCCUACGGGAGGCAGCAGUGGGGAAUCUUGGACAAUGGGGGAAACCCUGAUCCAGCAAUGCCGCGUGUGUGAUGAAGGCCUGCGGGUUGUAAAGCACUUCCGGUGGGGAAGAAAUACUCAGGGCUAAUAACCCUGAGGGUUGACGUUACCCAUAGAAGAAGCACCGGCUAACUC